AUGACGCUCCUAAGCUAGAACUGCCUUGGCCUCGGGCAGCCUUGGACAGUUCAGGAGCUAGUAUGCCUUGUGCAUACGUACAAGCCCAAGCUCGUCUUCCUCUCAGAAACUCAGCAAGGUAAUAAGUAUGUUAAUAACCUCAAGUGGAGGCUUGGUCUCCAUCACUGUAUUGCACAACCCGGCAUUGGAAAAGGUGUUGCUAUUGGCCUCUUUUAUGAUGAGUCUGUGGAAAUAAAGAAAAUUGUCGUGGGGGCGAGGUAUAUCAAUGUGUUGAUCCGGUUGAAUCCCUUUGGCUUGCGAUGGAGAGCUAGCUUUGUUUAUGGUGAUCCAAAAGCGCAUGAGCGACAUCUUAUGUGGACCUUAUUACGCAGAAUUAAGGAUAGAACAAAUCUUCUGUGGCUAAUGAUCGGAUAUUUUAAUGAAACAAUGUGGCAAUCGGAACACUUUUCAGCAGCUAAAAGAUCGGAGAGGCAUAUGCAUGACUUCAGAAGGGUUCUCUCUGAGUGUAACCUUUUCAGCCUGGGCUUUAAGGGUCCAAGAUGGACUUACAGUAACAAACAGGAGGGUAUGGCAAAUGUGUGUCUGCAUGGAUAG
rnacentral:rRNA from 1 species